AUCUAGCUGGCUCAAUCAGUGGAGCAUGUGACUUUUGAUUUUAGGACUGUGGGUUCAAGCCCCACCUUAGGUG
rnacentral:tRNA from 1 species